GCCACAAUCAGUGUAAUAUAUCAACACACAUACCUACACAACAUACGCAAUAUAAACAUAAAAUCUAAUAUUAUUACAAACACAAACUUGACUGUACUGUAUUUCAUCUGGAGUGUCAACAUGGAGACACAGAUGACUUUACUCAUGAUUCUCACUGCAGUUUCAGGUGCAUUUGCUGAUAACAUUGGACCAAGAGAAGAAGAAACAAAUAUAAUCAGAAAUGACGGAGAAUCUGUGACACUGAGCUGCACAUAUGAUACAACCAGCAAUGAUAUUUGGCUUUACUGGUACAGACAGCAUCCUAACAGUGAACCUCAGUUUAUACUGCUCAAAGGAGCUCGAUCACAAAGCUAUCAGAAUAUAGCAGACAAUCGGUUUAAGUCAACAACAUCUCGAUCAUCCACUGAACUCAUUAUUAACAGUGUAACUCUGUCAGAUUCAGCUUUAUAUUACUGUGCACUAAGAGUUUUAGCACAGUGA